rnacentral:lncRNA from 1 species
GCCUGUUGCGCCGUCCAGGCGGCAAGGCCGUGGCCUUACUGCCAGCUUGCCUCGCCAAACCGCUAGGGUCCUAUAGGCAGCGGGACUUUUCGGUGUGUCCCAGCGCCGGAGCGAACAGUGGGAUCGUCGUGCGAUGGAGGUAGUCAGAUGGAUUGUUCACCAGAGCUCACCUCUCGUUGGGGGCUUCACUAUGCCAGCGACCAGCCUUGUUCUCGCCUCUGCUAAUGGUGAGACCUCCCAUGGUUCUUCUUUGUUUUUUUUUACUUUGCUUAGCCUCUUAUCGAAGUACGGUUUGAACGCCGGGGUGUCCAGUUCGCUGAUGUCGCCGUAGGAGCACGAGGUGGAAGAAGACCUAGGAACCGUAGAUCAAAUAUCUGGGGCUGGGAUUGGUUGUGUGCAUGGAUAGUUUCUGGGCCGUUGAUCCGACGACGUCCGGUCUAGAUUAGAGUAUACUAUCCUUUUGUUCCGGACCGUUGAAUCUCAAUUGGGCGCCUCGGAUUAAAUCAACCACGAUCCCCCUUUUGUCGCAUUAAACCGGAGCCGCAGAUUUCCCGAUGAACGGUCCCGAUUUGCGCAUGAAUACCUCUUCGCGCGAUCGGAUCGGGGCCCUUGUUUUCUGAUCGGACGGCUCAGCCCGUCCGAUACCCCUUCGGCUAGUAAUCUUUAUGAAGAGCCCCUGUUCUUUUCUAGAUUUAACCCGCAGUCCAGAGAUCCUUUGUACUGAGUCAGGUAAACAUUGCGCUAGGGCCCCUGUAUUUUACAAAUUUUGAUGCCCAGUCCAGAGAAUUAGAAAAAUCCAUAAAAGUAAUUAGGAGAUGAAUUUUUAAUGUAAAAAUAAAUAAUAGAACUUGUUUAAUUCAUAUAAAAUUCUUAUUAAGUCAAAAUGAGUCCAUUCCAAUUCAUAUAAUUUUAUAAUAUUAUUUUUUAUCUACUAGUGUCUCUGUUUUGACAUGAAAAACAUAUUAAAAUUUGUCUCUUAAUUAAUCUUGUAUCAAACAAAUAAAAUCUUUGGAAAUUCAUAACUCCUCCAUUUUAAUUCCGAUUUGACUCGUUCCAGUUGCGUUAGUUUCGUAUAAGUAUUUAAUACGCAGUAACAACACUUAUUAUACCAUGUCUCAUUAUUUUAUAAUUGGAUCUGUAUUUAACUUAUGUUGGUUAGUCUUGUUAAUCUGCUCAUCUACUAAAACAUGAUCUAUGGUCAAUUCAUAAUUUAGAUUAAAGUUGAUAUAAUUAUUUAUAGUAUAACCUCUUAUAUAAUUUAUACUAACCAAUUUAUAAUAUAAUUUAAUAUUUUAAUCAUACAAAUCUUUUAUAAAAUCAUAACUUGAAGACCGUAACUCCGAUCUUAGUAGUUCUCGAUCCCGCGAUCUCGUAGCUUCGUGUAGAUUAUUAUUAUUCAGUUUGUUAUUAUGUUUGGUGUGAUGUUAAUUUUUAUCUAUACCAUGUUUGUUUGUAUUGCUACGUCUAGUGCGAGGUUUCAAGUCACCUGAAGUUCACCCUGGUAACUGGAUCUCAAGUGCCAGGCAAGUUGUGCCCUUGAUCACUUACUUUUCCCAGCCAUGUUCUUAUUAAUUUUAAUGAUCUGCAUAGGUUAAUUUUGAUGGGAUCCUUUAUGUACCCCAGUUUUGAUUACCUCUAUACCUUGUUCACCCCUGAAAUAUUUUUGGGUAGUACUUGCUAUUGCUUUAUGUGGAUUGGGUAUGGAGAUACACUACUCAUGAUUAUCCUGUUAUUAUCUUGUUAAUAUUACUGUUCAUGUUAAGAUCAUUAAAUUAAUGGGAACAUGGAGCGACCACCCGGGAAAACAGUGCUACCACAAGGGUUUAAUGGGACGCCCUUGGUUGAUUAACUAGGAAAGCUAGUGGAGGUCUUCCUUACCCAAAAGGGGCAAGGGCAGUAGGGGAGUGGUCAGUGUAGGGAGGUCCUUGGGUUGAUUUUGCUGCGAUGGCGGUCAGGUAAGAACCCUGCACUGGAGCUUCCUAUAAACUGUAGCGGGAUUUCUAAAACUAGUGGAACUUUGUAAAGGCCUCGUAGUGUUACCCUGCCUCGCCUCCUCGGUAGAGGUGUAUGGGAUUGGCCAUCUCUUGGCAGAUGGGUAACAUGACUUGUGGGUAAAGAUGCGCAACCUCUGCAGAGUGUAAAACUGGUAUACUAGCCGUGCUCACGGUCAUGAGCGGCUCGGACCCUCACAUGAUUAAUUAUGGAACUUAAAUUUAAUUUGACAUUUGCAUCGCAUUUGGGAUUAUUUUACUAUUACUGUUCUUUAUUAUUAUUAAGGUUUGGUAUUUACUUACACUUAGUAAGUGCUAAUAAAAUUUGACCAACUUAUAAAAGCAAUGCUCAGCUUCAGCCUCUAUUUCAUUGAUCAGCCUUACACUACAUGAUCUCCCGCCUUUGGUGAGUUCAUGCCACAUUAUUCCCCAUGACUUGUUGAGCUAUGAACGUAUGUGAGCUCACUCUUGCUGUCUCACACCCCCCCCCCACAGGAGAAGAACAGGUGGUCGAAGAGGAGCCGCCUAACGCAGAGGCAUUCGACUUGAUCUAGGUGGCGUUUCUCAGUUGACAUUGGCGCCAACGAUCCUUAGUUCGUUUUAUAUUUAUUCUUUUACUUUGUAAUAAGUCUUCCGCUGUGUAAUAAAUACUCUGAUGUUAUUAACAUUUAUCUCUAUACACUUUGUUAUUAUAUAUGUUGUCUUCUUGUCGCAUGUAUG